rnacentral:lncRNA from 1 species
AACUAAACAUCUAUACAAGUACUAUGAUUCUCUUUUGAUCACAUACAUUGCAUUUAACCUUCAUAUUCAUGAUUCUUUACCUUUCAUUACAUCACUUGCAUCUUUUCUUUUUACAUCACAUUGCCUCAAAAUAAACUUUACAAUCUUUUCUUUCUUUGCUUUAUACAUCAACAUCUUAAAUCAUCAAAUACAAAAGAUGAUAAAAGGGUAUACUACUAACAAAAUAUAAAGCCUGACUCGGGUGGCCACUGUCUAGGGAGCGAUACCUUUACCGCGGUCGCUCGCCGGCUCGCUCGGUCCCGGCUCUAUGGAAUAGUGGGGUGAGAACUACAACAAAGUUUCCAGUGGGUUCGGCCCCAAUCUCACCGACUUUCCCACUAGGACUAACUCAG